AUUGAACGCUGGCGGCAUGCCUUACACAUGCAAGUCGAACGGUAACGCGGGGCAACCUGGCGACGAGUGGCGAACGGGUGAGUAAUAUAUCGGAACGUGCCCAGUAGUGGGGGAUAGCCCGGCGAAAGCCGGAUUAAUACCGCAUACGACCUAAGGGUGAAAGCGGGGGAUCGCAAGACCUCGCGCUAUUGGAGCGGCCGAUAUCAGAUUAGGUAGUUGGUGGGGUAAAGGCCUACCAAGCCUACGAUCUGUAGCUGGUCUGAGAGGACGACCAGCCACACUGGGACUGAGACACGGCCCAGACUCCUACGGGAGGCUG
rnacentral:rRNA from 1 species